UACGUAGGGUGCGAGCGUUGUCCGGAAUUAUUGGGCGUAAAGAGCUCGUAGGCGGUGUGUCGCGUCGGCCGUGAAAACCUGCAGCUUAACUGUGGGCGUGCGGUCGAUACGGGCAUCACUGGAGUUCGGCAGGGGAGACUGGAAUUCCUGGUGUAGCGGUGAAAUGCGCAGAUAUCAGGAGGAACACCGGUGGCGAAGGCGGGUCUCUGGACAGUUCCUGACGCUGAGGCACGAAGGCCAGGGGAGCAAACGGG
rnacentral:rRNA from 1 species